rnacentral:rRNA from 1 species
UCUGCCCUGCACUUCGGGAUAAGCCUGGGAAACUGGGUCUAAAUACCGGAUUAGGGACUCCUGGCUUCAUGGUUGGGGGGUGUAAAGCUUUUGCGGUGUGGGAUGGGCCCGCGGCCUAUCAGCUUGUUGGUGGGGUAAUGGCCUACCAAGGCGACACGGGUAGCCGGCCUGAGAGGGUGACCGGCCACACUGGGACUGAGAUACGGCCCAGACUCCUACGGGAGGCAGCAGUGGGGAAUAUUGCACAAUGGGCGCAAGCCUGAUGCAGCGACGCCGCGUGAGGGAUGACGGCCUUCGGGUUGUAAACCUCUUUCAAUAGGGACGAAGCGCAAGUGACGGUACCUAUAGAAGAAGGACCGGCCAACUACGUG